rnacentral:lncRNA from 1 species
CUCGACAGAGAUAUGCUGCAUACUCGGUUUGGUAGCUCCCACGAGUGCCACUCCAGAGACGAGCGCUGUGCUUUUGCGUUGGUGUCGUUCGUGCAGGUUGGACUUGCUCUCCACGAACUGGUUAGUGUGGAGGUAGCUGUAUAGUCGCGACCGGGCGGGACGGGUGUGUUCACAAUCCCAGGGACGAGUAUGAUUACAGCUCUUAUUUGAUAUUGGGUCUGAGUUGACACUGUUGUACAGAUGAUUAGAUUUAGAGUAUGAUAGUAUAGUUGCAUAUAGCUGUAAAUUUGUUCCAGCUUUCUUUACUAUUCCUGCUUAUCCCUGUAAACUUAGUGGGUGGACCGAUGAGUUUGAGGGCGGUACCCACUGAGGACUACUUAUUUUUACAGUAGUUCUCACGCCCAGUUGUUACCACUGUUUUUGCAGAGCCGUCGCCUUCGGCUGCUGCUGUUGCUGAUCUUGAUCGUGGCAAGGGCGUCGCGAGUUAGAGCCCUUCCAGUCGAGUCGCAGAGCUAGAGGAGCACCAGCUACAGGUAGUUGUAGUUGUUGGGUCUUUACAUACAGUUGUUGUUUUUCGCCAGAGCGAGUAUUUAUAUACUUUGGAUGACAUGUAUGUAUUGAACCACAGUUUAUAUUUGGUUUACUUUCCUAGCUGCUCUAUACUACUGUUUGUAGUAUUAUAUGAUUAAGGUACUUUUACUUCUUUGCUUCGUAUUCAGGGAAAAUACCUAUAUAUAGGGCGGGUCUGUUAGUGAGCCCGGAAAAGCGAGUAAUCCGGGGCGUGACAGACGGUCAGUAAGAAUUUUGAAAGGCUGAUAGACAAAUCAAAAUAGUCUAUAGUACAGAUAAAUUUUUAUAUGAUUUUACCUAUAGUAUUUAAUAAUUUUUUAGUAAUUGUUGAAAAGAAAAAAUAUUCGUAAUUUAUUGAUAAAAUAAACAUAUUAUUUUAUAUUUUUGAUAAUCUUAAAAAAUAAUAUAAUUGUGUGAACCAAAUACUAAACUACUAUAUUCUUAAUGAUAAAAUGAAUAAUAAUUAAAUUCCUAAGAAUUUUUUUAUUUUUAGUAAUCUUUUACAAAGCGAACCAGAU